rnacentral:sRNA from 1 species
AUGUACUUAGGGAAGGUUGCUAUCAAUACAAGAUAAGGACCCAAGAUGCUAUUUCACAAGGAAUAUGAAGAAUUCUUGUGUAAAUGGGAAACGUGUCUCUGAGUCUGUCAAAAGCUAAAGGCCAUAGCAGAGUUGUAUACACAGGAAGGUACCCGGUGGGCCUCUUUAAGCCUGAUACCCAAGCUGUCUCCAGGACAAACAAGCUCACGCAAGCCCCUAACUAUCAUGAAGAAGAGAAACUUCAGUUUGAGUGGAAAUUAAAUUGCUCAAGAAUUUUGAUAAAGAGGUGUGUUCUCCAAGUAAUAGAAAAUCUUUUCUACAAACAAUCAACAAUGGAUUAAAUUUCAUGGUUCAAGAGGUCUUUUGGAGAGGAAUUUUCAGAAAAGAUCCAGGAAUAAUGGCCGCAGUGAAGCCCUCACUUAAAUGCACUCCAAAGACACAGGGACAUAUGCUCUCCUCCCCAGUCCCUGGCUGGAUCUGAAAAAGGAGGAAAAAGUAAUUAAGCCAUUCUCUCUAAAUUGAGAGAAAACCUGAUUUAGAAUGGCAUAGAACAUACAGAUAUUCUUCGCUGAUACUCAAGAAAAUGAUUGCGAGGAAUUAGUGACUGCCGACCACAGUUUUCAAGUUUGAGGAAUCUACUGACUUCAUGUUAAAAGAGAUGGUGAGACAUGGCGCUGCAUGGAUGAAACUCCAGCAUUCAGGAGCUUGAGGCAGGGGAUGGAUGCCCAGGACCAAAUGGAGGACCCUUCAGACAGGAGCCUGGGUCCUUCAUGAUUGUGUGGAGCACUGUUCCUUGUCCCACAUCCAGAGAAUACCUGGUCCCACUUUUAGAGUUAAUGGAGUGCUCCUGGUCUGAGUCUAACGUUGUAGAAAGAUUAAGGGCAGACCUCUGGCUAAUGAAGACCCAUACUGUAGGUAAGUGCCACGACUUCAACUUCGAAUUGUCACUUCCUUCCGAAAACAUCAGGAUAUCUUUCGAAAAAGAAA